AAGGGAGCACUACCUCAACCUACAUGCUUCGCUCACAAAGCUUCAACAUAUAAGCUUCAAUAAAAGGAAAAAUUCAAAGAACUUAGUGAAGAAAGCCUUGGUGUAUUUAACACAAUACGUUGAAAUGAAGCAAAGCUUGUUUAUUAAUAUCUCCGAUAAGUUACAAAUAUGAACAUAUACAUGAAUAAAAAUAAACAAACAAGAGGGAGCCUUCAUAAAGGUUGCUCAGGAGAAGUCUCAGCAGUCGGCAGAGCCCCAGAAAGAUGAGGCA
rnacentral:lncRNA from 1 species